GCCAAAACGAUGGCGUGUCAUCGCUGAAAAUGUGUUAAUCUUUGGAAUUUAGUCAAACGUUCGCCUUUAAUCAUAAAUAUUGCUGCAAAUUGCCAACGCAGGGGUUGGACUUGUCGAGAGCAGGAGCUCCGAGUGGCGAGUGCUUAAGAGUUUGGGGAGUAGCAGGAGCAGCGGACAGAAUUGCUUGCUUGGCCACUCAACCACCAAACGUGCCCAGCUGGCAGCGUUUGCUGCUGCAACUGCUGCUCUUGCUAUUGUCAAUGCGUAGCCACUGAAGAGGCCGCCACCGCCAGUUCGAGUGGGACAACCCACCACAAACUACAACUCGUGCACGCACAAAAUUUGUCGAUUGCAUCCCAAAACUGGCGAAAUGUCAACGGGCCUGAAGUUCGGAGUGCACUUCACAGCUCUGCGUUGCACUGGCGACAAAAUGCAGUUGCUGUUGCAACACGACAGCAAGAGGCAGAAUGAAGCAGGGCAGGGACAGGCUGUAAGCCCAAUGGGACACUCGAGCGGCCCUUGGCACCCUUAAGCUGCAAUACGAUGCGUUCACUGACGAAGAAUUGCAGCAAAUUUGCAAGAAAAAGAGUGAAAAACUGCGAGCUGGUGAGAAGAGAAGCGGAGGGCCGCGUUUAGUUUAUAGAACUUCCAUGAGCUUGGACUGGCAGGCUGUGAAAUUUAUUAAGCGCAAAACUAUAAUUAAAGCAAAGUAAAAAUUA